UGCCAGCCGCCGCGGUAAUACGGAGGGUGCAAGCGUUGUUCGGAUUUAUUGGGCGUAAAGCGCGCGCAGGCGGAUAGGUAAGUCAGGUGUGAAAUCUCGGGGCUCAACCCCGAAACUGCGCCUGAAACUGUUUAUCUAGAAUCUCAUAGGGGGAAGGGGAAUUUCGCAUGUAGGGGUAAAAUCCGUAGAGAUGCGAAGGAACACUCGAGGGGAAACCGCCUUCCUGGAUGAGUAUUGACGCUGAGGCGCGAAAGCGUGGGGAGCAAACAGGAUUAGAUA
rnacentral:rRNA from 1 species